rnacentral:lncRNA from 1 species
UAGCUAUAGUUGGCAGGCGGUUGUAAGUGCUCCAGAGUCUUCAUUACCUGCCGCUCCAGUCGUCUUCGCGUGGGUUCCGCUAAGCUCUUCUGAGCUGCCCGCUCUCUACACACGCCGUCGCCGUAAUCCGCCAUCAUGGUGAAACUCGCAAAGGCCGGCAAAACCCACGGAGAGUCCAAGAAAAUGGCUCCUCCUCCAAAGGAGGUGGAAGAAGAUAGUGAGGAUGAAGAAAUGUCAGAAGAUGAAGAUGACAGCAGUGGAGAAGAGGAGGUUGUCAUCCCUCAGAAGAAAGGCAAAAAGGCUACCACAACUCCAGCAAAGAAGGUGGUUGUUUCACAAACAAAAAAGGCUGCAGUUCCCACACCAGCU